rnacentral:lncRNA from 1 species
GUCCCUGCGCCUCUACAUCCUUCGGAGCGACUUAGGUUAGUCCCAGAACUUUCGUUCCUUCUCUUGCCAUCUAGCUGCCCCUUCUCUUCCAUUUUUCUUCUGCUGCAUUCCUCUUGUUAGGUCCCCCACGAACCUUUCGGCUCUUAUUUUGUCUGAUCUCUUCAGGAUUUUUAGGGUUCUUGCUUGAGAUGUCUUCUGGCACCUCUGCCUCUAG